rnacentral:lncRNA from 1 species
AUGGAGCAAAGAAGAAGAAAGGGAGAGAAGAGAAAUAGUAGCAUGCCAGGAAGAUCCCUGAAAGCUCCUCAGGAACUAAAGGAGCAAAGAAGUCCCUUCUUUUCUGAUCCAGCCAGCUCCAGCCCUCCAGCUCUUGGUCCCCCGGUCCUACAGUGGGGCCUUACGACUUUUCACGGUUUAUCAGCUAGAGACAGCUCUAGAAGACAUCACUGGGUUGCAGUUGCAACCAGCUUUCCCCUGCUUCAGUAUGAAUGAAAGGUUUUGCUUCUUGUGCCUAGUUUUACUGAGAUGACUGCCUGCCACAAUGAGCAGGUCUCAAGUGGAGACUUCGGGAGCCCCACACAUCUCUGCCUGCAACAUAGAAUUUAUUUGAAAAGGAAAAUGCCAUAGAAUCACAGAAUAGCUGCGGUUGGACGGGACCUCUGGAAAUCAUCUUGUCCAACCGCCUUGCUCAAGCAAAUUUGCCUACAGCACAUUGCCUAGGACCCUGUCCAGUGAGGUUUUGCUUAUCGCCAAAGAGGCAGACUCCACAACCUCUCUGGGCAACCUGCUCCCGUGCUGUCACCCAUACAGUAAAACGUUUCUUUCUUGUAUUUGAAUGGAAUUUCUUGUAUUUCAGUUUGUGCCCAUUGCCGCUUGUCCUGUCACUCACUACCACUGAGAAGAGCCUGGCUGCACCUUCUUUACACCCUCCCAUCAGGUAGUUAUGCACAUUGAUAAGAUCUCCCCUGAGCCUUCUCUUCUCCAGGCUGAACAGUCCCAGCUUUCUCAGCCUCUCCUUAUAUGACCGAUGCUCCAGUCCCUUAAUCAUCUUCGUGGUCCUCUGCUGGACUCACCCCAGCAUGUCUAUGUCUCUUCUGUAUUGGGCCAGAACUGGACACAGCACUGCAGAUAU